rnacentral:rRNA from 1 species
GGGGGCAUCUUUACAUGCAAGUCGAACGGCAGCAUAGGAGCUUGCUCCUGAUGGCGAGUGGCGAACGGGUGAGUAAUAUAUCGGAACGUGCCCUAGAGUGGGGGAUAACUAGUCGAAAGAUUAGCUAAUACCGCAUACGAUCUAAGGAUGAAAGUGGGGGAUCGCAAGACCUCAUGCUCCUGGAGCGGCCGAUAUCUGAUUAGCUAGUUGGUGAGGUAAAAGCUCACCAAGGCGACGAUCAGUAGCUGGUCUGAGAGGACGACCAGCCACACUGGGACUGAGACACGGCCCAGACUCCUACGGGAGGCAGCAGUGGGGAAUUUUGGACAAUGGGGGCAACCCUGAUCCAGCAAUGCCGCGUGAGUGAAGAAGGCCUUCGGGUUGUAAAGCUCUUUUGUCAGGGAAGAAACGGUUCUGGAUAAUACCUGGAGCUAAUGACGGUACCUGAAGAAUAAGCACCGGCUAACUACGUGCCAGCAGCCGCGGUAAUACGUAGGGUGCAAGCGUUAAUCGGAAUUACUGGGCGUAAAGCGUGCGCAGGCGGUUGUGUAAGUCAGAUGUGAAAUCCCCGGGCUCAACCUGGGAAUUGCAUUUGAGACUGCACGGCUAGAGUGUGUCAGAGGGGGGUAGAAUUCC